rnacentral:lncRNA from 1 species
UACUUCCUCAUAUGAACUACCAAAGAAAUUGGAAAAACCAAAGAUUGUCUUUACAUUCCAAUUUUAAGGAACUAAAUUCCGUCACUAUGUGAAAUGGAUAAAUGUUUUGUUUGACAAAACAUUGUUCUUUAUUAAUGAAUGAUUAGAUUAUUGUAAUCUAAUUAAUUAUUAUCUCUAUAUUAGAGAUAAUAUGGUAGUGUUAACUGUUUAGAAAAUAAUGAUGCUUAAAACCCAAAAGGUUGCAAGGUAGUGACUAAUCCCAACUAAAGUUGUGAUACCUCUAAAACAUAAAUUACGAGUUGGUCAUAGAUGGACGCUUUGGAUCGUUAGAUCCGGAUCCAAUACCUUCUUGUUAAAAUUGUAUAGAGGCGAAAUGUUCGAAUCUUUAUUCUUUUGGAAAGAAGAAAGAAUCACAAAGUUGUUGAGGUUAAUUCACUUAGAUAGUGGCACUUGUCCACAACAUAAUACUACUCAUGUUGGAUGACAUUCACCGAAGAUCACUCUCGGUUGAACUAUAGUUUAUUUUGAAUAAACACAAGUCCGAAUACUUUGCAAAAUGUUUCAAAGAAUUCAAGUAAUGUAAGUU